GGAGAGGUAGCGAAGUGGCUAAACGCGGCUGACUGUAACUCAGUUCCUUUUGGUUCGGUGGUUCGAAUCCACUCCUCUCCACCA
rnacentral:tRNA from 21 species